AACCUCUUUGUUCGAAAUUCUCCUUCUUGUUGUACAGAGUUCCUUCAAAAACUUGGCGUACCUUGGCACUUGCUUAAUUGCGUCAAGGAGAGGUAUAUUGACUUGCACUUUCCGGAACGUCUCUAGAAUGUCCUUUUCAGCUUCUUCUUUCUUUGUUUGCUUGAACCUACUAGGAAAGGGGACAUUCAAAGGGAAAUCAUUAGUAGGAAUGGAAUUGGACACGGUUGUACCUUUAUUUGGCAGAUUGGAUGGCUUAGGAGCCAUGG
rnacentral:lncRNA from 1 species